GUAGGUACGGUUUGCUUUUGGUCCAAUUGUUGGAACAGCACUUGUGAGCUCCCUUCUUCUACCUUGGGUUGCCUCUCACAGCUCACAAGUAGUAUGCACAAAAGAACACAAGAGACAAGUAGUUUUCUUUUUUUUGCCACCAGCUGCCUCACGCAGCCAGUUCUUUUCUUCUCUUUUUUCAUCUCGAUUACACGCCUUAAAUAGCCACCUAGUAGCAUGCAUGUAGGCAACAACCUGCCCACGUCUCCUGCGUACCCACUCACCGGCUAACUAGGUCCAUCACUAAUUCUAAUGCAUGCAUGUAAAACUAGUUAGCUAACCUGACCAAAUCACUCGGCAAGGCAUAACUAAGUACUAGUAGCAUGCAACGACUAGCUACUUAUCCGGCCAAGUCGCUCGGCCUA
rnacentral:lncRNA from 1 species